rnacentral:rRNA from 1 species
GAGUUUGAUCAUGGCUCAGGAUGAACGCUGGCGGUAUGCCUAACACAUGCAAGUCGUACGAGAGUAUUUAUACUCAAGUGGCGGACGGGUGAGUAACACGUGAGAAUUUGCCUUUAGGAGGGGGAUAACAAUUGGAAACGAUUGCUAAUACCCCAUAUGCUUAAGAGUGAAAUGGAUUUAUCCGCCUAAAGAAAAGCUCGCGGCUGAUUAGCUAGUUGGUAAGGUAACGGCUUACCAAGGCGACGAUCAGUAUCUGGUUUGAGAGGACGAUCAGACACACUGGAACUGAGACACGGUCCAGACUCCUACGGGAGGCAGCAGUGGGGAAUUUUCCGCAAUGGGCGAAAGCCUGACGGAGCAAUACCGCGUGAGGGAAGACGGCCUAUGGGUUGUAAACCUCUUUUUUCAGGGAGGAAUCAAUGACGUGACCUGAAGAAUAAGC